rnacentral:tRNA from 1 species
GAUGUCAAGAUGGCUGCCACGCACCCGGAGACA